rnacentral:rRNA from 1 species
AUCUAAGUACCCCGAGGAAAAGAAAUCAACCGAGAUUCCCCCAGUAGCGGCGAGCGAACGGGGAACAGCCCAGAGCCUGAAUCAGCUUGUGUGUCAGUGGAACGGUCUGGAAAGGCCGGCGAUACAGGGUGACAGCCCCGUACACGAAGGCACACAGGCUGUGAGCUCGAUGAGUAGGGCGGGACACGUGAUAUCCUGUCUGAAGAUGGGGGGACCAUCCUCCAAGGCUAAAUACUCCUGACUGACCGAUAGUGAACCAGUACCGUGAGGGAAAGGCGAAAAGAACCCCGGCGAGGGGAGUGAAACAGAACCUGAAACCGUGUACGUACAAGCAGUGGGAGCCUUCGUAAGAGGGUGACUGCGUACCUUUUGUAUAAUGGGUCAGCGACUUAUAUUCUGUAGCAAGGUUAACCGUAUAGGGGAGCCGAAGGGAAACCGAGUCUUAAUUGGGCGUUAAGUUGCAGGGUAUAGACCCGAAACCCGGUGAUCUAGCCAUGGGCAGGUUGAAGGUUGGGUAACACUAACUGGAGGACCGAACCGACUAAUGUUGAAAAAUUAGCGGAUGACCUGUGGCUGGGGGUGAAAGGCCAAUCAAACCGGGAGAUAGCUGGUUCUCCCCGAAAGCUAUUUAGGUAGCGCCUCGUGAACUCAUCUCCGGGGGUAGAGCACUGUUUCGGCUAGGGGGCCAUCCCGGCUUACCAACCCGAUGCAAACUGCGAAUACCGGAGAAUGUUAUCACGGGAGACACACGGCGGGUGCUAACGUCCGUCGUGAAGAGGGAAACAACCCAGACCGCCAGCUAAGGUCCCAAAGUCAUGGUUAAGUGGGAAACGAUGUGGGAAGGCCCAGACAGCCAGGAUGUUGGCUUAGAAGCAGCCAUCAUUUAAAGAAAGCGUAAUAGCUCACUGGUCGAGUCGGCCUGCGCGGAAGAUGUAACGGGGCUAAACCAUGCACCGAAGCUGCGGCAGCGACACUAUGUGUUGUUGGGUAGGGGAGCGUUCUGUAAGCCUGUGAAGGUGUGCUGUGAGGCAUGCUGGAGGUAUCAGAAGUGCGAAUGCUGACAUAAGUAACGAUAAAGCGGGUGAAAAGCCCGCUCGCCGGAAGACCAAGGGUUCCUGUCCAACGUUAAUCGGGGCAGGGUGAGUCGACCCCUAAGGCGAGGCCGAAAGGCGUAGUCGAUGGGAAACAGGUUAAUAUUCCUGUACUUGGUGUUACUGCGAAGGGGGGACGGAGAAGGCUAUGUCGGCCGGGCGACGGUUGUCCCGGUUUAAGCGUGUAGGCUGACUUUCCAGGCAAAUCCGGA